rnacentral:rRNA from 1 species
AACGAACGCUGGCGGCAGGCUUAACACAUGCGAGUCGAACGCAUCCUUCGGGGUGAGUGGCAGACGGGUGAGUAACGCGUGGGAACGUGCCCUUCAGUUCGGGAUAACCCAGGGAAACUUGGGCUAAUACCGGAUACGUGCGAGAGCAGAAAGAUUUAUCGCUGAAGGAUCGGCCCGCGUCCGAUUAGAUAGUUGGUGGGGUAAUGGCCCACCAAGGCGACGAUCAGUAGCUGGUCUGAGCGGGUGAUCAGCCACAUUGGGACUGAGACACGGCCCAAACUCCUACGGGAGACAGCAGUGGGGAAUAUUGGACAAUGGGCGCAAGCCUGAUCCAGCCAUGCCGCGUGAGUGAUGAAGGCCUAGGGGUUGUAAAGCUCUUUCGUCAGGGACGAUAAUGACGGUACCGGAAGAAGAAGCCCCGGCUAACUUCGUGCCAGCAGCCGCCGCCGUAA